UACAGAGGGGGGCAAGCGUUGUUCGGAAUUACUGGGCGUAAAGGGCGCGUAGGCGGCCUGUUAAGUCGAACGUGAAAUCCCCGGGCUCAACCCGGGAACUGCGUCCGAUACUGGCAGGCUUGAAUUCGGGAGAGGGAUGCGGAAUUCCAGGUGUAGCGGUGAAAUGCGUAGAUAUCUGGAGGAACACCGGUGGCGAAGGCGGCAUCCUGGACCGAUACUGACGCUGAGGAGCGAAAGCCAGGGGAGCAAAACGGGG
rnacentral:rRNA from 1 species